UACGGAGGGGGUUAGCGUUGUUCGGAAUUACUGGGCGUAAAGCGCGCGUAGGCGGAUCAGAAGGUUGGGGGUGAAAUCCCGGGGCUCAACCCCGGAACUGCCUCCAAAACUCCUGGUCUUGAGUUCGAGAGAGGUGAGUGGAAUUCCGAGUGUAGAGGUGAAAUUCGUAGAUAUUCGGAGGAACACCAGUGGCGAAGGCGGCUCACUGGCUCGAUACUGACGCUGAGGUGCGAAAGUGUGGGGAGCAAACAGG
rnacentral:rRNA from 1 species